rnacentral:sRNA from 1 species
UUUGACAUCCGACAAAAAUAUUCUUAAAAUAUAAAUUAAAAUGUUCACUAUAUACUAGUAUAUACAAACUUACCUCCAAAUAGAUUUCAUCAUUUGGUCGAAAUGUGCUAUUGAUUUUGUGGAAUGUUAUGUUAUAGUGGGUGCAAAAAAUCUGUUGGAUGAGACAAAGCAGAAAAGAAAAUGAAAUAAUUGAUUAUUAACUCAAGUCAUUUGUGGGUGAAUUGACACUUUGAUGCAAUCCAAGAAAACUGACUCUAAGACCAUUGAGGUCAGCAGUGUUCAACCGCAUUAAUGGCCAAAUGAAAUGUUUAUGCGGAAGCUCUUCCCAACUCGUAUUAUGCUGAGUGCAAGUGUAUGUGUGUUUGGUGUGCCAGGAUAAGUGUCAAUGCUCCCAGCACGGAGAGAAUAAAUAACAACAACAGCAACAAAUAUUAUAACAACAAAAACAACACCAACAAUACGAUACUAGCGAAUUGGGAAAAUGAAGGCAAAGGAAAAUGUAUAUGACUCGGUUUUUUUUGGAUUUUAUCCGUUUUUUAUGAUUUGACCGCAUGUUGACACCACAAUCCCAAAUGAGAGCCAACAAACCGAAACCCAAAGGAGUGGAGUGACAGUGUAGUCUACUGCAUAUGUAUAGAUGUUUGUGUGUGAGUAGAGUGUGAGCCCCCCUUGUAUGUAAGAAGCUCUUUGUUGUGCUGCUGCUGCAUUUAAAAGAGGACAACCGACCGCCUGUCAGACAAAACGCAAAAAAAGACGACAUACAUUUACACACAAACAACGCCUCUUCAGAACCUACACACACUUGAGCGCAAUCUUACACAUCCUUCAUCUUUAUUUUAAAACAGUGUUACCACCUGCCUUAAAUCUAAUUUUGACAUAUAUUUAAAAAACCUAUCUUGGAAAACAUACACCCAAAGAAGAAUAAAAAAAAUUUGAAGCGGAGUUUUGAAAGUUUCAAUUGAUGAAUAAUUGAAAAGGCAACUCUUGGUGAAACUCAAUUUGCUUUUGCACAUGCAAACAUUUGCACAUACAAAACACCAAAGACACUUACAUAAGUGUUUGACAUACAUGCAGGGAGAUGUGUGUGCCAAAGUGGAGAUCCAUUCGCAUUUACCCACUCGUCCGCUUUCUAGGCUAAAUCGUUUGUUUAUUUUGUCGGCCCCCAUUCAUCAUAAACGCCAUAGUCCUUCGCGUGGUUGUUGUUGUCGUCGACGUCACAUCAUCAUCAUCAUCAUAAUCACCAACAACACAACAAAGCAUUGUUUUUGUUCAAACUAACCUACAAAGAAUGUGAACUGAACUCUUCAGAUUUCUGCCAACAGCAAAAGCCGUGUCACACCAACAACCUAUGGCCGCUUUACAUCUCCCCCCUUUGAUGGAGCAUUAGUAUGUGCACCAUAACAAAACUGUACUCUCUUGCUCUAACUAUGUUUUGUACUGCUGCAAUUUGUAUACUCUUGCCAUUUGUUUCCUUAUUGUGGCGGAGAUAAAAAUAGUUUGUGCUCCUUUUGGGAAAACAAUCAAACGGAAGUUGGUUGGCAUCUGUGUUACCAUCAGACUCCCAUUAUGUAUUUAACUAGGAACAACAAUAAAAUGCUGGAUAAAAUUGAUGCAAUACCGGAAAUGUCAUGUGACCAAAUUGCAACGUUUAUUAUUUUACCACACAUGCCUAGUGUGUGGCAAAUUGUUGAAAAUGAAUACAAUUAAAGAAAACGAAAUAAAUUUGAUUGUAGCUUACAAAACCAAAAAUACAAAAAAUAAAACUGACUUUUGUACCCUCCACAAUGGAAUGGAGGCGUACUGAUUUCAUCA